AUUGAACGCUGGCGGCAGGCCUAACACAUGCAAGUCGAACGAGCGGCGGACGGGUGAGUAAUGUAUGGGAAUCUGCCCGAUAGAGGGGGAUAACUACUGGAAACGGUAGCUAAUACCGCAUACCAUCGGAUGUACCCAUAUGGGAUUAGCUAGUUGGUGGGGUAACGGCUCACCAAGGCGACGAUCCCUAGCUGGUCUGAGAGGAUGAUCAGCCACACUGGGACUGAGACACGGUCCAGACGCCUACGGGAGGCAGCAGUGGGGAAUAUUGCACAAUGGGCGCAAGCCUGAUGCAGCCAUGCCGCGUGUAUGAAGAAGGCCUUAGGGUUGUAAAGUACUUUCAGCGGGGAGGCGUUACCCGCAGAAGAAGCACCGGCUAACUCCGUGCCAGCAGCCGCGGUAAUAC
rnacentral:rRNA from 1 species